CUGCCCGAAAUGCUUGAGUACUGGCUAGCUGGGAUGUGGCUUUUGGGCCUUAGUGCCAUGUCACGGUGCCCCUUGCAGGCGGGCACGUUCAUGGGCGUGAGACAGUGUUUGUUUGUGUCGCGCUCCUCUGAUGUGUCCGUGCUGGGUGAACCUAUCGAAGCAUCACACGGUAAUUGUCCACCACAGCUCGUUGCUUGGUCACCCGCUGGGUCUAAACGUGCAGGAUGCUCAUCCAGUUUCCGGACUGUCAAUGUUGACGCGUGUAUGGGCGAUUUGGUACCGUACGGAGGGCUUUUCCGUACGCGUACGCGCUCGCGUCACGUCCGUGUUAUAUCCUGGCUCUGACUGCCGACUUGUAAACGUGGUGUGAUCCAUUCGGCGACAAAGCUGGAAUUGGCCAAACACAUACAACCCCAGCACUGCGGCCAUGUGUCGGUCGCAGUGUACCUGCGGGCAGGCUGCUUGCGUCGCAUGCUCGCAUAUACGCUCAGCCUGGGAGUUGGUCUGAUUGGUGAUGAUCUAGCGACCAUCGGUCACGUCUCGAAACACGGGCCAAGGAGUAUAGCAUGUGUGCAAGUCU
rnacentral:rRNA from 1 species